rnacentral:lncRNA from 1 species
GUUACUAUAGUUACAGCCCGUAUUAAAGGGUAGGUAGCAUGAACAGAACCAUCACGUUACUAUAGUUACAGUCCGUAUUAAAGGGUAGGUAGCAUGAACAGAACCAUCACGUUACUAUAGUUACAGUCCGUAUUAAAGGGUAGGUAGCACGAACGGAACCAUCACGUUACUAUAGUUACAGUCCGUAUUAAAGGGUAGGUAGCACGAACGGAACCAUCAGGUUACUAUAGUUACAGUCCGUAUUAAAGGGUAGGUAGCAUGAACGGAACCACUUGUAACAUUAUGGAUUUGGGUUAUUACAGAAAUGUAUUUUAUUUUGAUUUAUAUUUUUUUAACCUUUAUUUAACCAGGCAAGUCAGUUAAGAACAAAUUAUUAUUUUCAAUGACGGCCUACCAGGGAACAGUGGGUUAACUGCCUUGUUCAGAGGGCAGAACGACAGAUUUAUACCUUGUCAGCUCGGGGAUUUGAUCUUGCAACCUUUCGGUUACUAGUCCAACGCUCAAACUAACCACUAGGCUACCUACCGCCCCUCUAACCACUAGACUACCUGCCAUCUCUCCACUCUAACCACUAGGCUACCUGCCCCCCCUCUAACCACUAGACUACCUGCCAU